UACGUAGGGUGCGAGCGUUGUCCGGAAUUACUGGGCGUAAAGAGCUCGUAGGUGGUUUGUCGCGUUGUUCGUGAAAUCUCACGGCUUAACUGUGAGCGUGCGGGCGAUACGGGCAGACUAGAGUACUACAGGGGAGACUGGAAUUCCUGGUGUAGCGGUGGAAUGCGCAGAUAUCAGGAGGAACACCGGUGGCGAAGGCGGGUCUCUGGGCAGUAACUGACACUGAGGAGCGAAAGCGUGGGGAGCGAACAGG
rnacentral:rRNA from 1 species